GUCUCAGGCCGUAUCAGCCUGAAGGCGCCCCGAUCUCGUCUGAUCUCGGAAGCUAAGCAGGGUCGGGCCUGGUUACGGAUCUUUGGAUGGGAGUACCACCUGGGAAUCCCCGGGUGCUCGAGGCU
rnacentral:rRNA from 1 species